GAAUGCAGCCCCAAUCGGGCG
rnacentral:snRNA from 1 species